GUUUAUGGUAUCGUGUAUGAUACAUAUGAAUGUGGGCUGUGUAUGAGGGCUGCUUGUGGACUUGUGUGUGAAUGGAUUUGUCACAUUGUGUGUUUGGUAGUGUGUGUAUGUGUGGGGCUGUUUGGGGUAUUGCACGUGAGAGGCUGCGUGCGUGGUUGUGUGCAUGUAUGUGGAUUGUUAGUGGUGUUGCGUUUGUGGGGAUUGUCAAGGACAGGAGCUGCGAUAGCUGUCGAGGGCUGCUUUA